UUCGCAAUGCCCGAAAGGGUGACGAAGCGACGCCGCGUGGGUGAGGAAGGCCUUCGGGUUGUAAAGCCCUGUCAGGAGUUAAGAAAUGUAAGUGCGCUAAUAUCGCAUUUAUUUGACGAAGGCUCCAAAGGAAGUCACGGCUAACUCUGUGCCAGCAGCCGCGGUAAUACAGAGGUGGCAAGCGUUGUUCGGAAUUAUUGGGCGUAAAGAGCACGUAGGUGGGUUUGUAAGUCAGAUGUGAAAGCCUUCUGUUCAACGGAAGAAUUGCAUCUGAAACUGCGAGUCUUGAGUGUAGGAGGGGAGAGUGGAACUUCUGGUGGAGCGGUGAAAUGCGUAGAUAUCAGAAGGAACGCCGGCGGCGAAAGCGACUCUCUGGCCUAUUACUGACACUCAGUGUGCGAAAGCUAGGGGAGCAAACGGGAUUAGAUACCCCGGUAGUCCUAGCCGUAAACGAUGGGCACUAA
rnacentral:rRNA from 1 species